rnacentral:rRNA from 1 species
ACGCACGCUGGCGGCGUGCUUAACACAUGCAAGUCGCACGGAAAGGCCCUGCUUUUGUGGGGUGCUCGAGUGGCGAACGGGUGAGUAACACGUGAGUAACCUGCCCUUGACUUUGGGAUAACUUCAGGAAACUGGGGCUAAUACCGGAUAGGAGCUCCUGCUGCAUGGUGGGGGUUGGAAAGUUUCGGCGGUUGGGGAUGGACUCGCGGCUUAUCAGCUUGUUGGUGGGGUAGUGGCUUACCAAGGCUUUGACGGGUAGCCGGCCUGAGAGGGUGACCGGCCACAUUGGGACUGAGAUACGGCCCAGACUCCUACGGGAGGAAGCAGUGGGGAAUAUUGCACAAUGGGCGGAAGCCUGAUGCAGCAACGCCGCGUGCGGGAUGACGGCCUUCGGGUUGUAAACCGCUUUCGCCUGUGACGAAGCGUGAGUGACGGUAAUGGGUAAAGAAGCACCGGCUAACUACGUG